CGCUCUUUGUAAUAUAAAAAUAGAGAGUCGUGCCUGCCCAGUGAAUUUUUUUAACGGCCGCAGUACCCUGACUGUGCUAAGGUAGCAUAAUCAUUUGCCUUUUAAUUAAAGGCUAGAAUGAAUGGCUUGACGAGAAUUUUUCUGUCUCUAAUAUAUUAAAUAGAAAUUAAUUUUAAAGUGCAGAAGCUUUAAUUAUAACGAAAGACGAAAAGACCCUAUCGAGCUUAAAAGUAAAAUUAAAUGAAUUUUUAUAGAAAAAUAAUUUUUAAUUAUUUUUUUUUGUUGGGGUGACAGAAGAACCAAAAAAGCUUCUUUUAAUUUUUAAAACUAAUUGGUUUUAUAGAACUAUAGUAAUAAAAGUAAGAUAAGUUACCGUAGGGAUAACAGCGUUAUUUUUCUGGAGAGUUCUUAUUGAAGGAAAAGUUUGCGACCUCGAUGUUGGAUUAGAAUUCCUUAAAGGUGCAGAAACUUUUAAAGGUGGUCUGUUCGACCAUUAAUUUUCUACA
rnacentral:rRNA from 1 species